GUGCUCGCUUCGGCAGCACAUAUACUAAAAUUGGAACCAUACAGAGUAGAUUAGCAUG
rnacentral:snRNA from 1 species